rnacentral:lncRNA from 1 species
GCUUGCCCAAUUGUUUUCCCUUAUUUGGGCUAGGUUGAGCUAAGCUCGAUGAACGAUUCUUUUUUUGCUCUCGAGCCUACUCAGAUGAACAAGUAUGUUUUGCAUUCGAAUAUAGUGCGGGCUAUUCGAAAUAUCUAGUUUCGUCUUAAGAAAAAAAUGAUAGAUAAUAUACUUGAUAUCAACGUGGGCUCACAUGAGCUCGAAAUUUAUGGUCUAAUUACGUGCGAAAACACACAAUCAGGUAUGGAGAACAAUGAGUUAUUACAAUGGCUCUCUUUAGAUUUAGUUAAUGACAGGCUUCGUAAUCUUUAUAACUCCCUCUCCUUCCAUAUUCUAGCGUGAUAACGAUGAGUCAUCAUCAUAACCUAACAACAAUUUAUGGGACCAUACGGUGAGUCGACCAAAAGACAACUUCUGUCGAAGGAUUCAGUGCAAAACAAAAGCCGCAGGAAGAUGAUGGAAGAAGAAUUUUUAGCGAGGGAGAGCACUGAGUUCGGCAGAGCUCCAGCUCAGUUUCUGACGUCUCUCGGCCUUUGCUCCCACGACAACGGCUCCUUCUACUCGGCUCCUCGCCGUUCGAUCGCUUACCAGAGGAGAGGCUUCUUCAUCGACUUUCUUCCUUCUCGGUUUCUGUUGAUGUCCUGGACCUAGGUUGUUGCUGAUGGUAAUGACUGAUGCGAAUCGCUGCUUGAAGAUGGCGUAUAUUAGUUCUUUAACGGGGAGGCGUUUUAACUGUUCGACAGAAUGCCUGACUCAGUCAUAGAUAGUUAAUUCCUAUUGCAUUCUGCUUACCAACGUUUUGAUGUCCCAUUGAAGUUGCACUGCUCGUCUCUUACUGCAUUUCUCGUAUAAAGUUGAUAGAAAUGCGAUUAUGUGUGCUUUUAGUAUGUCAAAUGUGGGUCACGUGUGUUUGAUG